GAUGAACGCCGGCGGUGUGCCUAAUACAUGCAAGUCGAACGCGUUGGCCCAAUUGAUUGAUGGUGCUUGCACCUGAUUGAUUUUGGUCGCCAACGAGUGGCGGACGGGUGAGUAACACGUAGGUAACCUGCCCAGAAGCGGGGGACAACAUUUGGAAACAGAUGCUAAUACCGCAUAACAGCGUUGUUCGCAUGAACAACGCUUAAAAGAUGGCUUCUCGCUAUCACUUCUGGAUGGACCUGCGGUGCAUUAGCUUGUUGGUGGGGUAACGGCCUACCAAGGCGAUGAUGCAUAGCCGAGUUGAGAGACUGAUCGGCCACAAUGGGACUGAGACACGGCCCAUACUCCUACGGGAGGCAGCAGUAGGGAAUCUUCCACAAUGGGCGCAAGCCUGAUGGAGCAACACCGCGUGAGUGAAGAAGGGUUUCGGCUCGUAAAGCUCUGUUGUUAAAGAAGAACACGUAUGAGAGUAACUGUUCAUACGUUGACGGUAUUUAACCAGAAAGUCACGGCUAACUACGUGCCAGCAGCCGCGGUAAUACGUAGGUGGCAAGCGUUAUCCGGAUUUAUUGGGCGUAAAGAGAGUGCAGGCGGUUUUCUAAGUCUGAUGUGAAAGCCUUCGGCUUAACCGGAGAAGUGCAUCGGAAACUGGAUAACUUGAGUGCAGAAGAGGGUAGUGGAACUCCAUGUGUAGCGGUGGAAUGCGUAGAUAUAUGGAAGAACACCAGUGGCGAAGGCGGCUACCUGGUCUGCAACUGACGCUGAGACUCGAAAGCAUGGGUAGCGAACAGGAUUAGAUACCCUGGUAGUCCAUGCCGUAAACGAUGAGUGCUAGGUGUUGGAGGGUUUCCGCCCUUCAGUGCCGGAGCUAACGCAUUAAGCACUCCGCCUGGGGAGUACGACCGCAAGGUUGAAACUCAAAGGAAUUGACGGGGGCCCGCACAAGCGGUGGAGCAUGUGGUUUAAUUCGAAGCUACGCGAAGAACCUUACCAGGUCUUGACAUCUUGCGCCAACCCUAGAGAUAGGGCGUUUCCUUCGGGAACGCAAUGACAGGUGGUGCAUGGUCGUCGUCAGCUCGUGUCGUGAGAUGUUGGGUUAAGUCCCGCAACGAGCGCAACCCUUGUUACUAGUUGCCAGCAUUAAGUUGGGCACUCUAGUGAGACUGCCGGUGACAAACCGGAGGAAGGUGGGGACGACGUCAGAUCAUCAUGCCCCUUAUGACCUGGGCUACACACGUGCUACAAUGGACGGUACAACGAGUCGCGAACUCGCGAGGGCAAGCAAAUCUCUUAAAACCGUUCUCAGUUCGGACUGCAGGCUGCAACUCGCCUGCACGAAGUCGGAAUCGCUAGUAAUCGCGGAUCAGCAUGCCGCGGUGAAUACGUUCCCGGGCCUUGUACACACCGCCCGUCACACCAUGAGAGUUUGUAACACCCAAAGUCGGUGGGGUAACCUUUUAGGAGCCAGCCGCCUAAGGUGGGACAGAUGAUUAGGGUGAAUCUA
rnacentral:rRNA from 2 species